CUACUGGCCAGGACUCCUCGCUCCGACACUCCUUUGCCAGAUGCCCCACAGAGAUUCUAGCCUUCCAUCUGGACCCUUCCCAUAGUCCCUCACUCUGCAGGACAAUGAACCAAGGCCAUACUGCAUUUAACCAUGCCUCCCGCCCAGGUACAAGGGCCCACAUACCUGGAGAGAAGAACAGGAAAUAAUGAAGACCUUGCCCUAGCCAAAGCAAUAGGAAAUCCGACCCAAACAGAGAAAUGGGAAAAGAAGUAUUUGCUCUCUAGAAGUGAUGCUGGUGCUCCCGGAGGGCAUCUGUGGUUUAUGUAACUCAGAAAGUACAAUUAGGCAAUUACUGCAUCAUUUUCAAGUGGGGUGACUACAGGAAGAAAAAUAAAGCAGGUGUCGAAGGGGCCUCCUGAAGCAAGAGAAAACAGCUCCUGUCUCAGAAAUGACAAAUCACAGCUGGCGGAUCAAUCUGCUGCAGCAGGGCCCAGUACGGCAUCGUGCACAAGGAGCAGGGCCAAGCAGGAGGGCUCAUGCCUCCAGUCGCCACCUGCUGCUUAUUAAGAAGAGCCAGAUGCUUGUCUAGGCCCUGGGAUAGGAUGCAGAUCUUGGGCAGCCUGAGGACAUCUUCCACUGAAACUCAUGGGACCAAGUGGGAAGGCCCUAGCUACGGUCCCCUCAGUACUACAUCGGUGAUCCAAGAAGUGGUUCAAGGGUGCUUCAGACUUGGUUGCAGACCCAUGGUGUCAAGGGAAAUAGCACAUGGUCACAGCUAUCCCUAGGAUAACCAGACCCUCUUUUCUGGAAGCAUGUCUCUCUUCCCUUCCUACCAAGGGAGAUCCCCAAUCUCUGCUAUUCCCUUGGUCUUCUGUUGUCUCCUGGCUUCAACAGGUGGUGAGGUCCUGGUGGGUGAUGCCCAAAUGUCCUUUGCGAUGCCAAUCUUUGUUCCGGCUUCUCUCCCCUCGCCUCUACUUCAGCUAGAGCAGAAGCUUCUGAGCAAGGCACUCCUUUCCCACAGCUUUUGACCUCACAGGAAGUCAUCUUGGAACAGAGGAAACUCUGAAAUGAUUCUUCGCUCCUGUCUCCACCAAACUCCUCCUAGAAUGGAAUAGAACUGGGCAGGAGAAGUGAGGUGAAUCAGUAAAGGUCCCCUGAUGGCAGCACACCACCCCAGACUGGACCAGGAGAGGAAGCUCCAACAGCUAGUUACUGUAAAGCCUGCAGCAGAGUGUGCAGUGACUGCUCCGCGUCAGGAAGAUGUAUGAAAAUCUCCACUUCAAUUCAGCAUCCCUUUUCUCCCAGACAAACAUGGUCGGAUUUUAAUAAAUCAAAGAGCUAC